rnacentral:lncRNA from 1 species
AUAAGUUCUGAAGGUUAGAGAGAAGAGACAGUCCAAUGAAACUUCUGCAGAGGUGAGGGGACAGGAGCUCAGGUCGAGGUGUGUUUCUGAAGGGACUCGGAGAUGUGAGAGAACUCACUAAGGAAAGGUGAUGAUGGAUGAGGCAUGGGGUGAGCUCAUCUGAACCAAGAGUUGCCUCACAGCAAAUGAGAUCUUCUGAUGAGUUGGGAUUUUCCACAGUCCCAACUACAGCACAUUCAGGGUCUUAUGGAAUCUUUCUCAUCGGGACUUCCUGGGAAGAUGGGAACAAAUGCCUAUUCACGUCAGAUAGGGCCCGGAUGACAGACAAGAGAGGACUUCUGGGAACUAUACAUGUGCACAAGGGGGUUCACGUGUAUGUAACACAUCUGACUUUUCCGUGUGCCUUCCAAGGGAUGGAACUUCGAUCCUCAUGUUUGUAUGAAGCCUUUACUGACUGAGACAUCUCCCCAUCCAUCCCUUUAAAGCAUCGUUGAUUCACAAUGUUCCUGUAGUUAGCCCUGCGGUCACAAUGCUGCCAGCAGAACUGAGUCUCUCCUCACUUUACGAGCUUUCCAGUUUUUCAUCUUGCUCAUUUUUCUUGAAGUGUCUUUCUUCCAGGUAUUUUCUGAUGCCUCGUGAGAGCAGAUAUGAGCCUGGGCUCCUACCUCUGUGUCACCUAGGACUCAAAUUGGGACACAUCUUGGUUUUCAGCUUCCUGUCCUUCCAAAUAAUACCAUGGUGUGAAAAUGCCAAGUUCAGCUCAGUGUUAUCUUUAUCUUCAAUGCCACCACCGUGUGAACAUGCCGUGUUCACCCACAGACUUUUCUCUUUAUCUUCAAGGAUCCUAUGAUCUUUGAGAUAUUCAGGGUGGGAAUAGCAGUAAGCCACGAGGAAGCUGGCUUUCUUUCCCACUGAACUUCUCCAGGCCUCAACGCAUCAUGGUUUUGUCUCGAGUCUGAUAAAUUCUGUAAGAGAUCCAACUUCUCCGAUUUCCUUGAAUUUAAGAUCAGCCCGAGACUGUGGUUCUCAGCCUUCAGAAUGUUGUGACUCUCUAACAGUGCUCCUCAUGUUGUGGUGACCCCAACCAUAAAGUUGUUUUCCUUGCUACUUCAUAACUGUAAUUUUGCUACUGAUAUGAUAUGAAUAUCUGACAUGCAGGAUAUCUAACAUGCAAUCCUUGUGGUAGGGUCAUCCAUCCCUCAAAGAGAUAUGACCCACAGGUUUACUAACAGCUGGCCUACAAGAUGGUAAUAGUCUGUCCCAGAGUAUUCGACUGAAUAAAUGGACAGUGAUAUCU